AUCAUAUAAGGUACAUUCCUGCUCAGUGACGUAAGUUUAACAGCCGCGGUAUCCUAACCGUGCAAAGGUAGCAUAAUCACUUGCCUAUUAAUUGUAGGCUAGAAUGAACGGAUAAACGAAAUAAAAACUGUCUCAGUUAAAUACAUAAAAAUUACUCUCCAUAUAAAGAAUUAUGGAUAAAUUCGAAGGACAAGAAGACCCUAUAGAGCUUUAUUUUAAUAUACUAUAAUAGUUAUACAUAAAAUUUGGUUGGGGCGACCGUGGGCUCAAAAAACACCCACAACCGUACAGAUUAAUAAAUCAUCUAUUUGACCCUAAUAAGAUCAUAAAACCAAGCUACCUUAGGGAUAACAGGCUAAUACUAUUAAAGAGUUCAUAUCAACAAUAAGGAUUGGCACCUCGAUGUUGGCUUAGGAUUUCAAUAUAGCGCAAAAGUUAUAUAAACGAUGGUUUGUUCACCAAUAAUUC
rnacentral:rRNA from 1 species